rnacentral:rRNA from 1 species
UACGGGAGGCAGCAGUGGGGAAUAUUGGACAAUGGGCGCAAGCCUGAUCCAGCCAUGCCGCGUGAGUGAUGAAGGCCCUAGGGUUGUAAAGCUCUUUCACCGGAGAAGAUAAUGACGGUAUCCGGAGAAGAAGCCCCGGCUAACUUCGUGCCAGCAGCCGCGGUAAUACGAAGGGGGCUAGCGUUGUUCGGAAUUACUGGGCGUAAAGCGCACGUAGGCGGAUCGAUCAGUCAGGGGUGAAAUCCCAGGGCUCAACCCUGGAACUGCCUUUGAUACUGUCGAUCUGGAGUAUG